UCACCCAGGAAACGGCCACGUGACUCUGUUCAAAUCCUAACUGUAAAACAGGACCGCAAAAGUCGUACACCAUUAACGGAUAAAUGAUCAACCAGUCAGAAUGAGGAUUGCACAUAACCCUUUGGAUUGCAAAGAGUUGGAAUCGUAGAAUCUCCACUGCAUGGAAUGACAAAAAAAACGAGAUUCUGGAGAAGAACACAUAACUAGACCCUCAUUUAUCUUGUGUUCCUGAGAUGACCUUUUAUGAUUAACAUUAGUCCAUCGAAAUUCACUGCAAUACCUCAUUACAAGGCUUUAGCCUUUGAGAAUCUAUAACAUAUUUCUGCUGUAUGACUGGAAUCUACUCCAACUGGGAAAUGUAUAGAACAUGAAAAAUCCUAAAAUCCAGAGGCAUAAAUACUGUGAAAUAAAAUGCAAUCCUUUGCACAAAA